rnacentral:rRNA from 1 species
AUUGAACGCUGGCGGCAGGCCUAACACAUGCAAGUCGAACGGAGUGGCGGACGGGUGAGUAAUGCCUAGGAAACUGCCUGGUAGAGGGGGAUAAAGUCGGGAAAGGGGCGCUAAUACCGCAUACUAUCAGAUGAGCCGAGGGGGGAUUAGCGAGUAGGGGGGGUAACGGCUUACCAAGGCGACGAUCCGUAGCUGGUCUGAGAGGAUGACCAGCCACACUGGAACUGAGCCACGGUCCAGACGCCUACGGGAGGCAGCAGUGGGGAAUAUUGCACAAUGGGCGCAAGCCUGAUCCAGCCAUGCCGCGUGUGUGAAGAAGGUCUUCGGAUUGUAAAGCACUUUCAGUUGGGAGGCGUUACCCACAGAAGAAGCACCGGCUAACUCCGUGCCAGCAGCCGCGGUAAUAC